AAUCUAUUGGUCUUUGUGUGUUUUUAAAUGGCUUAUAAACACCUUCCACGCUGCAAUUGUUUUUGUGUCAGCACACGAUCUCAGAUCAGGUUACUUGCUAUGCCUGUUCAUCUCUGUAAUUUUACUUGGAUUUGACAAAAUGUUU